GGCGUGGCUCAGUGGUGGAGCAUCUGAUUGGCAUGCGGGAGGUCCCAGGUUCAAUUCCUGGCAUCUCCU
rnacentral:tRNA from 1 species